AGAGUUUGAUCCUGGCUCAGAUUGAACGCUGGCGGCGUGCUUUACACAUGCAAGUCGAACGGCAGCACGGGGGCGAACCCUCGGUGGCGAGUGGCGAACGGGUGAGUAAUGCAUCGGAACGUAUCCUUGAGUGGGGAGUAACGCAGCGAAAGUUAGUGCUAAUACCGCAUAAGACUCUGAGGAGGAAAGACGGGGGACCGGAAAGGACCUCGCGCUGAAGGAGCGGCCGAUGGUCGAUUAGCUAGUUGGCGGGGUAAAAGGACCCACCCAAGGCGAUGAUCGAUAGCGGGUCGUGAGAGGACGAUCCGUCACACUGGGACGUGAGACACGGCCCAGACUCCUACGGGAGGCGAC
rnacentral:rRNA from 1 species